rnacentral:rRNA from 2 species
CCCAGACAGCCAGGAUGUUGGCUUAGAAGCAGCCAUCAUUUAAAGAAAGCGUAAUAGCUCACUGGUCGAGUCGGCCUGCGCGGAAGAUGUAACGGGGCUAAACCAUGCACCGAAGCUGCGGCAGCGAACGUAUCACUUAAAGCGAUUCAGCGGGUUACGAUUGACGGAGCGAAGCGACGUCAAAGCGUAUACAAAGUCGAGUCGGUUUAAGGAUACGUUCGUUGGGUAGGGGAGCGUUCUGUAAGCCUGUGAAGGUGGCCUGUGAGGGUUGCUGGAGGUAUCAGAAGUGCGAAUGCUGACAUAAGUAACGAUAAAGCGGGUGAAAAGCCCGCUCGCCGGAAGACCAAGGGUUCCUGUCCAACGUUAAUCGGGGCAGGGUGAGUCGACCCCUAAGGCGAGGCCGAAAGGCGUAGUCGAUGGGAAACAGGUUAAUAUUCC